AGAGUUUGAUCAUGGCUCAGAUUGAACGCUGGCGGCAUGCCUAACACAUGCAAGUCGAACGGCAGCACAGUCGUAGCAAUACGAUGGGUGACGAGUGGCGGACGGGAGAGUAAUGCAUCGGGAUCUACCCUGACGUGGGGGAUAACCUCGGGAAACCGGGACUAAUACCGCAUACGUCCUACGGGAGAAAGCGGGGGACCUUCGGGCCUCGCGCGGCAGGACGAACCGAUGUGCGAUUAGCUAGUUGGCGGGGUAAUGGCCCACCAAGGCGACGAUCGCUAGCUGGUCUGAGAGGAUGAUCAGCCACACUGGGACUGAGACACGGCCCAGACUCCUACGGGAGGCAGCAGUGGGGAAUAUUGGACAAUGGGCGCAAGCCUGAUCCAGCAAUGCCGCGUGUGUGAAGAAGGCCUUCGGGUUGUAAAGCACUUUUAUCAGGAGCGAAAUACCACGGGUUAAUACCCUAUGGGGCUGACGGUACCUGAGGAAUAAGCACCGGCCAACUUCGUGCCAGCAGCCGCGGUAAUACGAAGG
rnacentral:rRNA from 1 species